UGGAUUAACGAGAUUCCCAC
rnacentral:ncRNA from 2 species